AAUGCAUUAAAAAGAUCCUUGAC
rnacentral:siRNA from 1 species